GUAGCAUCGUCUACACCCAACACAACAUGAUUUGUAUCUAUUCCCACAUUUUAUGUCACUCAUUACAGACCACUGUCGUAAAAAAUAAUAUCUAUUAUCUAGUGUUUUCUGUUUUUGAUAAGUAGAGAAUCAUAAAUUUAAAUUCGUUUUAAUCUCUGGAAUCUACGACUAAUAUGUCAAUUCUGCAUUGAGACUAAAAUGAUGUGUGUAGCAGAAGUUGAACUUGGUUUAAUAUACAUAUUAGUUUACCAUACUAGCUACCAUUAGCAUGUUCAAA
rnacentral:sRNA from 1 species